UUGGGUUUAAAGGGUCCGUAUGUGGAUAAUUAAGUCAGGGGUGAAAGUCUGCAGCUCAACUGUAGAAUUGCCUUUGAUACUGGUUAUCUUGAAUUAUUAUGAAGUGGUUAGAAUAUGUAGUGUAGCGGUGAAAUGCAUAGAUAUUACAUAGAAUACCAAUUGCGAAGGCAGAUCACUAAUAAUAUAUUGACACUGAUGGACGAAAGCGUGGGGAGCGAACAGGAUUAGAUACCCUGGUAGUCCACGCCGUAAACGAUGGAUACUAGCUGUUCGGACUUCGGUCUGAGUGGCUAAGCGAAAGUGAUAAGUAUCCCACCUGGGGAGUACGUUCGCAAGAAUGAAACUCAAAGGAAUUGACGGGGGCCCGCACAAGCGGUGGAGCAUGUGGUUUAAUUCGAUGAUACGCGAGGAACCUUACCAGGGCUUAAAUGUAGAGUGACAUAGCUAGAGAUAGCUAUUUCUUCGGACCACUUACAAGGUGCUGCAUGGUUGUCGUCAGCUCGUGCCGUGAGGUGUCAGGUUAAGUCCUAUAACGAGCGCAACCCCUGUUGUUAGUUGCCAGCAAGUAAUGUCCGGAACUCUAACCAGACUGCCGGUGCAAACCGCGAAGAAGGUGGGGAUGACGUCAAAUCAUCACGGCCCUUACGUCCUGGGCUACACACGUGCUACAAUGGUAUGGACAGAAAGCAGCCACUGCGCGAGAAGG
rnacentral:rRNA from 1 species